UACGUAGGGGGCAAGCGUUGUCCGGAUUUAUUGGGCGUAAAGAGCGUGUAGGCGGCCAUUCAGGUCAGCUGUGAAAACUCGAGGCUCAACCUCGAGACGUCGGUUGAAACCGUUUGGCUAGAGUCCGGAAGAGGAGAGUGGAAUUCCCGGUGUAGCGGUGAAAUGCGCAGAUAUCGGGAGGAACACCGGUGGCGAAGGCGGUUCUCUGGGCAUGUCCUGACGCUGAGGAGCGAAAGUGUGGGGAGCGAACAGG
rnacentral:rRNA from 1 species